rnacentral:lncRNA from 13 species
GGGAAGCAUUGAAGUCAACAUGGGCCAGCAUCCCCAUGGAACGCUUUUGACACCUUGUAGAAUCCAUGCAAAUUAAGGCUGUUCCUAAUGUUUUGUACACUCAGUGUAGGUUGUAAUCUCAUUGGUCAAUGUCUCAAUCAAAUACUAUCCACGUUGAUAUGACGUGGUGUGCCCAGGGGGUAUUAGUUUGGUAAACUAUAUUUUCAGAGUAGCUUUCCCAACACUGCUAAAAUGUCAACAACAGGACAGGCCUUGAUGACCUAAGCCUCACCUAGGCUACUGUCAUUUCUCAGCACCCCCAGUCUUUGUUUCCCUAAGUAAUUUUGCUCCAUUUAACAAUUCCCACUUGGCCACUUUCCUCAGUGCUAAGUGUUUUCCAUACCAGAAGUGUCCAGAUAAAUUGAUUUCCAGGGCAACGGAUUAAAAACAUUGAGCAUGGAGACUGUGAAAGAGAGUUCUUGGAAGCAUCUGUUGAUGGGGUGGUUGUGGCAGGAUGAGGGGAGUUUUUCCCCCCUUGAAUAGGAUAGUUUUGGUUGCCAUAGAUAUUCAGAAAAAAAUAGCCCUGCCUAGUCAAUGAGACGAAGCUUUGGAGCUGUAUACCGUAACCGUACGCAAUUGUUUUCUCAAAUGGAAAAGCAAUAAAACAUGUAUUUUUUUGGAUACACAUUGAGAUUCAUAUUUGGUUGAAAAUGACGAUCUGAGGACCAAGCAAACCGCUACUUUUUAACCUGCUCCUGUCGCCCACCUGGACAGCAGUUUACUAUUCCACAGCAGACAGCACCCAUGACCGGCAGGACUUGUAUUAUAUGGACCCUCAUACGAUGGACAAGGUAAAAACAGAAAACUAUUACCAUGUGUUUUUAAUGUUACAAAUUGUCAUUGUGAUAAUCUAAAUCGGUUAAUGGAAAAUUCCCUAAAGUGCCCUUUUAAAUUGUCCUAAGAAAGUCUCAGAAAUCUCACCUCCUCCCAGGGCAAUGGGAACUUUACUUAUCUAGCAAACUGAGUUUCCAGAAGUUUAAGAAUAAAUCACUGCAAAAGUCCAUGAAAGCAUGAAACAGUGUAACAGAUCAUGAGGAU